GCAACUUUGACUUAGAUGGAUGAGUGCUGCCCUGAAAAGGCAGAAAGACAGGCUCGAUACCUGUAGGUUGCACCA
rnacentral:tRNA from 1 species